rnacentral:rRNA from 1 species
GUGCCAGCAGCCGCGGUAAUACGUAGGGGGCAAGCGUUGUCCGGAUUUAUUGGGCGUAAAGAGCGUGUAGGCGGUUCGGUAGGUCCGUUGUGAAAACUCGAGGCUCAACCUCGAGACGCCGAUGGAAACCCCCGAACUAGAGUCCGGAAGAGGAGAGUGGAAUUCCUGGUGUAGCGGUGAAAUGCGUAGAUAUCAGGAGGAACACCUGUGGUGUAGACGGCUCUCUGGACCGCAACUGACGCUGAGACACGAAAGCGUGGGGAGCAAACAGGAUUAGAAACCCCAGUAGUCC